rnacentral:rRNA from 1 species
UACGAAGGGGGCUAGCGUUGCUCGGAAUUACUGGGCGUAAAGGGCGCGUAGGCGGUUCUAUAAGUCAGGCGUGAAAUUCCUGGGCUUAACCUGGGGGCUGCGCUUGAGACUGUGGGACUUGAGGUCAGAAGAGGGUCGUGGAAUUCCCAGUGUAGAGGUGAAAUUCGUAGAUAUUGGGAAGAACACCGGUGGCGAAGGCGGCGACCUGGUCUGAUACUGACGCUGAGGCGCGACAGCGUGGGGAGCAAACGAGGA